UGUGACACGGAAGGUAAGACAGAGCCGGGAAUGAGAAAACCGGUGCAAGCACAAUAGAUGUGUGGGAGGAAAAACCCCCGCAUAAGUCGAAGGUGUGACGCGGACCGAAAAAGAGUAGGGAAGCUGUUAAGCAAGCCGUCAAGAAAAGCUGCUAUUGUUUCAUUAUGGCCCGUACCGUAAACCGACACAGGUGGAUGGGGAGAGAAUCCUAAGGCCGGCGGAAGAAGUAUUGUUAAGGAACUCGGCAAAAUGACCCCGUAACUUCGGGAGAAGGGGUGCCUGCGAGAGCAGGCCGCAGAGAAGAGGCCCAAGCAACUGUUUAGCAAAAACACAGGUCUAUGCAAAACCGAAAGGUGAGGUAUAUGGGCUGACGCCUGCCCGGUGCUGGAAGGUUAAGGGGAGUGGUCAGGAAACGAAGCCACGAACUUAAGCCCCAGUAAACGGCGGCCGUAACAAUAACGGUCCUAAGGUAGCGAAAUUCCUUGUCGGGUAAGUUCCGACCCGCACGAAAGGCGUAAUGAUUUGGGCGCUGUCUCGACAAUACAUCCAGUGAAAUUGAAGUGCCAGUGAAGAUGCUGGCUACCUGCGCCAGGACGGAAAGACCCCAUGGAGCUUUACUCCAGCUUGAUACUGGGACCCGGUAUUGCAUGUACAGGAUAGGUGGGAGGCUAGGAAAUGUGGACGCCAGUCUGCAUGGAGCCGCUGUUGGGAUACCACCCUUGUGGUGCUGGGUUUCUAACCAGAGGCCGUGAACCGGUCUGGGGACAAUGUCAGGUGGGGAGUUUGACUGGGGCGGUCGCCUCCGAAAGGGUAUCGGAGGCGCCCAAAGGUUCCCUCAGAAUGGUUGGAAACCAUUCGAAGAGUGCAAAGGCAGAAGGGAGCUUGACUGCGACACCGACGGGUGGAGCAGGUACGAAAGUAGGGCUUAGUGAUCCGGUGGAAUUUAAGUGGGAAUGCCAUCGCUCAACGGAUAAAAGCUACCCUGGGAUAACAGGCUGAUCACUCCCAAGAGUUCACAUCGACGGAGUGGUUUGGCACCUCGAUGUCGGCUCAUCGCAUCCUGGGGCUGAAGUCGGUCCCAAGGGUUGGGCUGUUCGCCCAUUAAAGCGGUACGCGAGCUGGGUUCAGAACGUCGUGAGACAGUUCGGUCCCUAUCCGGCGUGGGCGUAGGAUAUCUGAGAGGAGCUGUCCUUAGUACGAGAGGACCGGGAUGGACUGACCUCUGGUGUACCGGUUGGCGAUCAACGCCACGGCCGGGUAGCCAUGUCGGGACGGGAUAAACGCUGAAGGCAUCUAAGCGUGAAGCCCCCCUCAAGAUGAGAUAUCCCAUCGUAAGAGUAAGACCCCUUGAAGACGACGAGGUUGAUAGGGCAGGGGUGGAAGUGCCGUAAGGCAUGGAGCUGACUGCUACUAAUCGGUCGAGGGCUUGACC
rnacentral:rRNA from 1 species